rnacentral:rRNA from 1 species
CGACCGGCGCACGGGUGCGUAACGCGUAUGCAACUUACCCUUAACUGGAACAUAGCCCGGGGAAACUCGGAUUAAUUUUCCAUAGCAUCCAUCUACGGCAUCGUAGAUGGAUUAAAGCUCAGGCGGUUAAGGAUGGGCAUGCGUCUGAUUAGCUUGUUGGUGAGGUAAUGGCUCACCAAGGCAAUGAUCAGUAGGGGUUCUGAGAGGAUGAUCCCCCACACUGGUACUGAGACACGGACCAGACUCC